GCUGCUGCUCCGGCUCCUGCAGCUCGGUCUCCUGCCGUCGCGGCGUCUCAUCCUGCAGCUGCUGCUGGAGGUAGCGCAGCUUCUCCUGGUCGCCUGCCUCCAGGUAUCCACCCGGCCCUCCAAGCCUUCCAGGCGUCAAAUACCAGUCCCGGCCACUUGGCAAGAACAACUGAAGCUUUCUCAGCAUUUUGUUGGAAAAUGAGUGGGCAUGUGGACAGGACAGGCCUUCUCACUUGAAGUCCAGCUCGAGUCUCUUUCUGGGACCUGAAUGUGACUUCAGGCUGGUGAUGGAGUCUUUGGCGCGGACCAAUCCACUGUUGACCCCACUCUGGGGAAGAAUGGGAGACAGGGCUGUCUUGGACCAUCAGAUAGAGGACACAACGAGACAGAAGGAGCCUGAAUCCUUGACAUGGAGCCACCAUACUCCAUUCCAAUCACCUGUGAAGACUUUCAGGGGAAAGAGAGGCAGAGAGCCAUUUGCCAGCUGGUUAUGACCAAUUCCAGCCAGUGGAAGGGAAGUGGGCACUGGUGGAUGUGUGGAAAAGACAGGCAUGAUCUCUUCCCCUGUUCCUCCUGCUGAAUGGCUGGAAGGCAGUGGUGAGAGCAACUGUCUAGAAAUGGCCGAACAACCACAACAUAGAUGCCUGUAACCUGCUGCAUUUGAAGAGCAGAGCUACUAUGCUUAUCAAGUCUUUUAUGUGCAAAAAAACCACAGCUCUCUUGAUUUCUCUCAUGGUUGCUGAACUAAUACACAAAAGAAAGAGAGAACAAGUUUCCUCCCUUGUAAGAUGGGGGCAGCAACACAUUUCUUGCAUGAUUGCUCUGGGGAAGAAGUGUGGUAAGAAAUAUUGUAUCCAGGAGUCAGAGCUUGCAGUGAGCCUAGAUCUGCCAAUGCACUCCAGCCUGGGCGACAGAAUG